AGUCCAAGGCCAGAAAAGGCUCCUUCUCACCAAGUUUGGCUUCAGUAAACGGAAGCAAGUCUUCGGCUGAGGAGAUUCCAAGAGGUUUUGUGCACUUUUGCCCAAAAAUGAAGGCUUUCACUGGAAUGGUCUCUGUCUUGUUGGCCUUGGCUCUUAGUCACCACCAUCAUGUUGGGGCCAACCCUGUGGGUGUGGAGGAAGAUCUGGUGCCGGUUCAAGCCGAGGACAUGCGGGAUCUCUAUGGAAGUGGGUACUAUCCCAUGGGCAAACGAGGCGGCGUCAGAGACAGCUUAAGAGACCUCCUCCAUGCUUUGGAGACCGAGGCUUCGUUGGAGGCCGCCGAAGAUGGGGAAGUCGAAGGCGAUGGCUCUCCCAUGAUGGUGGCACCCGGUCCCGUGACUGGACCCUCUGGCAACCUCCAUUCCGUGGAUAAAAGAAGACGUAAGAGCCGUUACGAGAAGCUGAAGCGUCGUCGAUAUGGAUUCUGGGUGACGGCCAUCAACAAAAUGGAUAACAACCACCUGAGUGGGUUCUUGGGCAAACAUAGAAAUAUCUAUAACGUAUUCAAGCGAUCACAGGGAAUGUGAAGCGGGGCCGACCGUUCAUCCCAGCAUUAGGCCAACCCAUGGCCGAUUAUCACAACAAAAAGUACUUCGGUUAAGUACCAUGGUGGUUGGAAAAGUCACAAGAAAUACCCCGUUCUGAACCAUACCAUUAUUAUCGUCGUCAAACUAAUAAUCCCUUGUCUUCCACUGAACCAAGUCUUCCAAACCAACGAUCAAUAAUGUCUUCUUCAAGUCAAAACCACUUCAAAUAACAAUACUAGUUCGUUCAAGUGUUAAAGAUGCCAAUCUCAGCUUUCAACAAUAACUGUGAAACGGGAACCAAUUCCAUAUGCGUGUAUGUUCUAUCAAAAACAACUAAAACAAAAACAACAAUAACAAACAACCAAUUCUUCUUACUCCUCUACUACCAAGUCAAUAACCAUUCUUACAUCUUCACAUUUCUUCAGAAUUGCUCAAAGCCGUUGAAUGAUAAUAAUAAACCUUUAUUGAGUCAACUAACCAAAA